GGAUGUAUUCCCUUCCCCUUUUUUGAGUUACUAUUCAUCAAGUGUGAAAAUUGAAGUUUUUGAUGGAGCUUUGCUUGGAGGUUGUUCUCUAGGCUUUGGGAAAGAAUUAGAGGUGUGCCUAGGGAUUGUGAGCAUUUGGAUUCUUUGGAGCGAGAUAGGUAACUUGUGUUACAAGUGAGCAAAUUGGUAAAGCUUCAAGAGGGUCCUCCCUCGGGACUGACUGUGUACACCUCUGAUAUAUUCUGAUUCCGCUUGGGGUCCUCUCUUGGGAACACGUGCAUUGAUUUCUACUUGGGGUCCUCCCUUGGGAAUGAUUGCGUACGCCUCUGAUAAGAUAUGUAUAUAUGCUUUGUUCUGUUAUGAUAUCUGUUAUAUGAUGUUUUGUAUACUCUGUAUCUGACUCUCAUGCAGGAGUGGGCCCAGGGGUAUGAAGAAUUCUCUAUAAACCCAGAGCUUAUUGAGAUUUGUUAACUCACCCCUUUUUGGGGACAUCAUUUCAGGUUCUCAAAUUCCCGGUGAGCCCUCAAGAGGCAGGGACACGACUCAUGGUUAGAGGUGCUACGACGGACCGAAUUUUUGAGUAGCGGUAGGCUACUGCUAUUUUGGAGUAUAUUCUUGUUGUUUUGUAUUCCAUUCAUUUUGGUGGAUCAUGAUGUUUGAUCUGUUACCUUGGAUAUGGCAUGUAUAUGUUUUGUACAUGUUUUCGCUUUGAUGCAUGUACAUUUGUGUAUUCAGGCAUGUCCAUAUUAUGAGCAAUA